rnacentral:rRNA from 1 species
GACGAACGCUGGCGGCGUACCUAAUACAUGCAAGUCGAACGAACCGCGACUAGGUGCUUGCACUUGGUCAAGGUGAGUGGCGAACGGGUGAGUAACACGUGGGUAACCUACCUCAUAGUGGGGGAUAACAGUCGGAAACGACUGCUAAUACCGCAUAGGACAUAGGAUCACAUGAUCCAGUGAGGAAAGGUGGCGCAAGCUAUCGCUAAGAGAUGGACCCGCGGUGCAUUAGCUAGUUGGUAGGGUAAAGGCCUACCAAGGCGAUGAUGCAUAGCCGACCAGAGGGGGGGAUGGGCCACAUUGUGACAGAGACACGCCCCAACCCCCUACGGGAGGCACCAGGGGGGAAUCUUCGACAAUGGCCGCAAUCCUGACGCAGCAACGCCGCGGGAGUGAAGAAGGUCUUCGGAUCUUAAAGCUGUUUUGUGGGAGAAAAACAGCAAAUAGUGAAUUGUUUGGGGGUGUGACGUUACCAAACAAAAAACCCCGGGCAAGCUCGGUC